rnacentral:rRNA from 1 species
AUUGAACGCUGGCGGCAUGCCUUACACAUGCAAGUCGAACGGCAGCGGACCUUCGGGUGCCGGCGAGUGGCGAACGGGUGAGUAAUAUAUCGGAACGUACCUUUCAGUGGGGGAUAACGUAGCGAAAGUUACGCUAAUACUGCAUAUUCUGUGAGCAGGAAAGCAGGGGAUCGCAAGACCUUGCGCUGAUUGAGCGGCCGAUAUCAGAUUAGCUAGUUGGUGAGGUAAAGGCUCACCAAGGCGAUGAUCUGUAGCGGGUCUGAGAGGAUGAUCCGCCACACUGGAACUGAGACACGGUCCAGACUCCUACGGGAGGCAGCAGUGGGGAAUUUUGGACAAUGGGCGCAAGCCUGAUCCAGCCAUGCCGCGUGAGUGAAGAAGGCC